UUAAGUAUUAUAUAGUACUCAGACGACACUAAUAUUCAGGGUUUGGGGUCCUCUGGCGGGCGCUCCCCCGCCGGGGCGGGGGCGCGGCUAGGCCUCGCGGCCCGCCAAAGCAACAAACAUCAUAUUCAAGGGUGGGCGAUCCUACCCGUGAGGGCAGGGAACACUGUAAUGAUCCUUCCGCAGGUUCACCUACGGAAA
rnacentral:misc_RNA from 1 species